rnacentral:rRNA from 1 species
UCGACUGUUUACCAAAAACAUAGCCCUAGAAAAUAUCUAAGGUGUAACCUGCCCAGUGAUCUUUAAAUUAUGUAAGAGAAAAUCUUAUAAAUAAGUUUAAAAGGACGCGGUAACCUUGACCGUGAUAAUGUAGCAUAAUCACUCGCCAUUUAAUUGAUGGAUAGUAUGAAUGGUUGAACGAAUACUCCACUGUCUUAGAAAAAAAUUAAUAUAAAUUGAAAUAACAGUUAAGAUGCUGUUUUAAACUGUAAGACGAAAAGACCCUAUAGAGCUUAACUAUAGUUUCCCUACUUUUUAUAAGAGAAUAAUCAUUAAUCUAGGGAGAUUGGUAGUUUAGUUGGGGCGACUGUCUUUUAAAUACAACAAAGAUAAGCAAUAUUAAUAUUUAAUUUAUUGUAUAACUAAAAAGUUUAACAAUUAUUAUCGUAGGCUAUAUUGACCCGUUUUAUCUUUAUAAAAAGUAAAACGAUUAAUUAAUAAAAGCUACCUUAGGGAUAACAGGAUAAUUUUAUUUUAGAGUUCUUAUCGAAAAUAAAGUUUGUCACCUCUAUGUUGAAUUAAGAUAUCCUGGUAAUGCAGAAGUUACCAAAGGUAGGUCUGUUCGACCUUUAAAAUCUUACAUGAUUUGAGUUCAUUCCGUCCC